rnacentral:rRNA from 1 species
AGUGAACGCUGGCGGUAGGCCUAACACAUGCAAGUCGAACGGCAGCACAGUAAGAGCUUGCUCUUACGGGUGGCGAGUGGCGGACGGGUGAGGCAUACAUCGGAAUCUACUUUUUCGUGGGGGAUAACGUAGGGAAACUUACGCUAAUACCGCAUACGACCUACGGGUGAAAGCAGGGGAUCUUCGGACCUUGCGCGAUUGAAUGAGCCGAUGUCGGAUUAGCUAGUUGGCUGGGUAAAGGCCCACCAAGGCGACGAUCCGUAGCUGGUCUGAGAGGAUGAUCAGCCACACUGGAACUGAGACACGGUCCAGACUCCUACGGGAGGCAGCAGUGGGGAAUAUUGGACAAUGGGCGCAAGCCUGAUCCAGCCAUACCGCGUGGGUGAAGAAGGCCUUCGGGUUGUAAAGCCCUUUUGUUGGGAAAGAAAAGCAGCAGGUUAAUACCCCGCUGUUCUGACGGUACCCAAAGAAUAAGCACCGGCUAACUUCGUG